rfam:Nippostrongylus brasiliensis genome assembly, scaffold: NBR_contig0006976
UUUGAUUGAAUUCAGGUGCCAAAAACCUAUUUGGGCAUGCUGGUCGGGUCUGUGUGUGCACUAAUGGGAGUGUUGACGAUCGCACUUCCGGUGCCUGUCAUCGUCUCCAAC